AGUAAAUGUGGAGCCGUAGCGAAAGCGAGUCUGAAUAGGGCGUUUAGUAUUUGGUCGUAGACCCGAAACCAGGUGAUCUACCCUUGGUCAGGUUGAAGUUCAGGUAACACUGAAUGGAGGACCGAACCGACUUACGUUGAAAAGUGAGCGGAUGAACUGAGGGUAGCGGAGAAAUUCCAAUCGAACCUGGAGAUAGCUGGUUCUCUCCGAAAUAGCUUUAGGGCUAGCCUCAAGUGAUGAUUAUUGGAGGUAGAGCACUGUUUGGACGAGGGGCCCCUCUCGGGUUACCGAAUUCAGACAAACUCCGAAUGCCAAUUAAUUUAACUUGGGAGUCAGAACAUGGGUGAUAAGGUCCGUGUUCGAAAGGGAAACAGCCCAGACCACCAGCUAAGGUCCCAAAAUAUAUGUUAAGUGGAAAAGGAUGUGGCGUUGCCCAGACAACUA
rnacentral:rRNA from 2 species